GACGAACGCUGGCGGCGUGCUUAACACAUGCCAGUCGAACGGAAAGGCCCUGCUUUUGUGGGGUGCUCGAGUGGCGAACGGGUGAGUAACACGUGAGUAACCUGCCCUUGACUUUGGGAUAACUUCAGGAAACUGGGGCUAAUACCGGAUAGGAGCUCCUGCUGCAUGGUGGGGGUUGGAAAGUUUCGGCGGUUGGGGAUGGACUCGCGGCUUAUCAGCUUAUUGGUGGGGUAGUGGCUUACCAAGGCUUUGACGGGUAGACGGCCUGAGAGGGUGACCGGCCACAUUGGGACUGAGAUACGGCCCAGACUCCUACGGGAGGCAGCAGUGGGGAAUAUUGCACAAUGGGCGGAAGCCUGAUGCAGCAACGCCGCGUGCGGGAUGACGGCCUUCGGGUUGUAAACCGCUUUCGCCUGUGACGAAGCGUGAGUGACGGUAAUGAGUAAAGAAGCACCGGCUAACUACGUG
rnacentral:rRNA from 1 species